GAAAAAAUUGUGGUAUCUGAUGGUGAUGGAAUAUUAUUGUGAUGAAAGGAAUAAUGAACUGGGGGAAUUCCAGAACCCCACGCCCAGGAUCCAAGCUGCAGUCUCCAGCAAAACUCCCUAGAAGACUCUCCCCAGUUAAACUACUAUCUCAAGAAGACAAUCUCUUCAGACUAUUUUCUCAAAGACCAUCUGCUCUGAGGGAGUUCAGGUUUGCUUUUAAGCUCUGCCCCCAAAUAAAGACUUUCAUCCGGAGCUGGCAUUCUUGUUCUGAUGAUUACAAUAGCAAGGCGGAGAGGUGGGACUGAAUCUGUUGUACAAACUAACAACCUAAUGAAGAUCUAAAUUUGCUCGUUAUCCCUUGAAACAGCAGUUAGGAGGUACAGAGGGGAAGGGAUAUUGUUGUUCUUUUGCUCACUCGGCAAGGAGAAGGAAGCAAUUUAAAUAAAAUAUCUGACAAAUAAACUGGUGGGAAUUUG
rnacentral:lncRNA from 1 species